CGAGUUGAAUGGGAUACCUAAAGUUCCCAUAGCAAACUGCUCAGUAACACAUGAUCAACUACCCUAUAGAGAAAAAUAACCUCGGGAAACUGAGGAUAAUGUUUCAUAAUUGAAUUGGCUUGGAAAAGUUUUUCAAUGAAAAGGAUAAAAAAAAUGGUUUUUAUCUGCUAUAGGAUAGGAUCGUGUUCGAUUAUGGUUGUUGGUGAGAUAAUGGCUCACCAAGCCGAUAAUCGAUAGGGGCCGUGAGAGCGGGAGCCCCGAGAUGGGUACUGAGACAACGACCCAGGCCUUACGAGGCGCAGCAGGCGCGGAACCUCCGCAAUACACGAAAGUGUGACGGGGUUACCCAAAGUGUUCAAUAGAACUGUGGUAGGUGAGUAAUGUCCCCUACUAGAAAGGAGAGGGCAAGGCUGGUGCCAGCCGCCGCGGUAAAACCAGCUCUUCAAGUGGUCGGGAUAAUUAUUGGGCUUAAAGUGUCCGUAGCCGGUUUAGUAAGUUCCUGGUAAAAUCGGGUAGCUUAACUAUCUGCAUGCUAGGAAUACUGCUAUACUAGAGGGCGGGAGAGGUCUGAGGUACUACAGGGGUAGGGGUGAAAUCUUAUAAUCCUUGUAGGACCACCAGUGGCGAAGGCGUCAGACUGGAACGCGCCUGACGGUGAGGGACGAAAGCCAGGGGAGCGAACCGGAUUAGAUACCCGGGUAGUCCUGGCCGUAAACGAUGCAUACUAGGUGAUGGUACGGCCAUGAGCCGUAUCAGUGCCGUAGGGAAACCGUUAAGUGUGCCGCCUGGGAAGUACGGUCGCAAGGCUAAAACUUAAAGGAAUUGGCGGGGGAGCACCACAAGGGGUGAAGCCUGCGGUUCAAUUGGAUUCAACGCCGGA
rnacentral:rRNA from 1 species